CUAAAUGUAUUAGAUAUAUUCUGUUAUAUGGGAUUUUUCAAGCAGGUGAAUCAAAUAUCUUGUUUCCAACACACCUGGACUUUGACAAAGUUCAGAUUCGCAUCAUCCCACUAUGUAAAGAGGGGUCUAAAAAGAUCAUUUUCUGUCUUUAGGCAGUGGGGCUUUAUAGUGGCUUAGGAUAUCUUGAAGACUCAGGCCUUAAUUUGCAUCAGAAUAUGUCUUGGACUCACGGCUCCCCUCAUUUAGAACAAUUUUGCAGGCUCCUGUCCCAUUCUUUUCUUUAGACCUACGAGCCGCAAAAGUUCACAAAUGCAAAGUUUACGUUCAGGUCUUUCCCAGGAGAUUUACUCCUGGAGCAAACUCGUGUAGAUGUUUUUCUGAAGCAGUGGUUUAGAAAGCAAGCUCUGACCCCAUCUUAACCAACGAGGUGCAAACAGGCUGCUGUAAUAUUGUGGUGUUGAAUUUUCCUUCCAGUGCUGAAUGACAGAGAGCUUGCCCUUUUCCUCAAAUCUCUCCCCGAUUGAGAGAUGAGUGAGCUGGUAACUACAAUAUCCAACAGCUUCACCAAGUCGAGAAUGUGAUGUCUGUGUAAUAACGCUCAAUUUUGCACACUUCAAAUCCAUUAGUAGCAAUUACCUUACCUGAGGUGUUUUGAGUUAGUUUUAGCACAGCAUUCUUGCAGUUGGUAGAUAAUGAGCAUAAUAAUGUAUACAGCAUUUUCAAGUCUCUGUUUUUAGCUACAAUAAUGCCAUUAGGAUUCUAUUUAGCAAAUGUGUGCUUCACACAGAAAGUUAAGACUUUUUUUGUUCAUGUUUCCCUCCCCCUUUUUCCAUUGCAUCUUAUGUCCUAUUCUGUGCAGUGCUGGAUUUCCUGAAAGAGCAGGAAAGUGUUUUAGCCACUGCACUUGAGCAAAGGCAGUGGGGGCCUAGUAUAUUGAGCACAAACCACGGAUGCAGGAGAGCAGGGUUGUGCUUUAGCCCUGCCACAGCCUGCUGGGCACCCUUGGGCAAGCUGCUGUGUCCUGUUUGCCCAAGGGAUAAGGAUUCUGGCACCCUCGCAGCACGCUGCAGCAUGGUGGGCUAUGUGGUGGUGAGAGAUGCAGAUGUUGCAGUACCUUUUGCUAGGGAUGCUGGCUCAGUCAUCUGCGCCGGGGGUCCUUGGGCCCCCCAAGAUGCUCCUCUGCCCUACUGAGGUUUUUUCCUUUUUCAGAGAAAGAAUACAUAGUCCAGAUGGGGAGUCACAGCUGAGAGAGUAGCCCACCUUGGGCCCGGGUGGUGAUAAGGUGUGGAUGGUAAAGCAAAGGUGGCUGCAGUGCACAUUGCCCCAUGCCUGCUUGUUUCCAGAAGUCAGUGAUGUCAGAGAGCCCUGGUUUGGGUGGGAUAACCCUGCCCUUACUCUGGGCAUCCCAAUAAGCCACCGUUACAAGGUCACUCUUCAUCAGGUAGACCCUUGCUGUCCUUGUAGCAAUAUAACCAUUUCAGAAAAAGUUUAGAUUUUAUCCUUCCCAAGAAUUCCUUAUCAGAGAACGAGAAAAGGACUGAGGAGAUAUAAUUGAUGCCUUUGUAGAUGUCACUGCUAAGGUCUCUGACACAGAUCAUACCAGCACAUUAAAAAUAGCUCUAAAAUAUUACAGCGCUUCUUUGGUAUUAAGCUGACCAAACACAAAAAGCAAAGAGUAUGUGGGCAGCCACACAAAAUGUUUUGGGAAACUGGCUUGUAUUUGCAGUUGAUGUGUUUAGAAAAAGAAUAAGAGCUUGGAGAGCCUUCUCUGUUUUAAAACGAACAUGUGAACAUGUUUUUGGCAGAAGUGCACCUUCUCUCCAGCAUUUUUGUACUUAGAUUCUCUAUUGAAAAAGCAAACUGAUUCUUCUGGCACUGAAAUCUCAACUUCCUACCUUCUUUUCACCUUGAUCUUUCUCACCUCUUAGUUGCUCUGGCACACUGACUGCAUGCCCAUCUACUACCUCCUUCCGCCCUGUGAGUACCCGUUCACAACACUGGCUAUCCUGUACUUAAUGGAGGAUGGUGGAAAGCUGUCCUGGUCGUGCUCAGCAAGGAAAACUAAACUGGAUUCUAGCACCCCACAGACAAGGACAAAGUGAUGAGAAAGCACCCGGCUGCAUGAAGAUAACAAAGUGCUUCUGGCUGUGGGGUAGGCAGGAUGAAGGGGAGCAGAGCCUGUCCCCCCUCCUCUGCUGCUGCCCCUUCUCCCUGCCUGCACCACCUCCUGGCCCCUUCAGCUGCCACAGUGACUGUCACCUCCAUCCGUCUGCUGCCCCGGAUGUCUGCUUACUUGACAGCGGAGCCCCAGAGCUGACCCCAUGCGCAGCCUGCAUGCUGAAGGGGAGCCGGAGGAGGCAGAUAUCACCUCUCCGUCACAGCGUGCCCAGGCUGCUCCGGGGGCAGCGCAGCAAAGCGCUGGCCCUGAUCUUCUUGCAUUGCCAUCACCUACCCUGAAAUUAGUAACAGCACGUCCAAGGAGAAUGACUACGGAGAUUACAAUGGCAAACAAAGGAAGAUGAGGAACAAUAAUCUGUAACCAAAAGUGGUGUUUCUCUCAGAGACAGCCCCACUGCUGCUGCCACAUGUUUCCCUCCUGCCAGGGCGGCCAGGACCCACCAGAGGAAAAGAACUGGAGUGCCCCCAAAAUCCUCCAUUUUAAGGGAAUUUGGCAACCACUUGCUGGUGUAUGUUUGUGCCUGUAGCUCUGACCCUCAGAACAUUUUAGCUGCUCCCUUCCAGCAUCCAAGCCGCAAUGGCCAAAGUCCGCGCAGCUCCCUGCGGCGCUUGUGCUCCUCAGAACCCCUCUGUAUUUCCUAAUUUCAUUGUUGUGGGGAGUAAUCAACGCCUUGUGGAAGAGCUGCCCUUCGGACAUCACGACUAGCUGUCUGAAAGGACCCACAGCAGCAUGGGCUCUGUUCAUGUUUGUAAUACGGAAGUCCAUGUCCUGCAGAACAAGGUCAUAACUGGCUCAGCUGGUGCUGGGAGUUCUGCAUGCUUGCACGUCCUGCGUGCUAAAAAAAAAAUGAAGGCACUUCUUUCCUGGCUAAGUCCCAUUUCCAUUAAGAUAUCUACACUAAGGUAUAAAUGCUGAGGCAAAAGUAAGG